AAGAACGACUCUCGGCAACGGAUAUCUCGGCUCUCGCAUCGAUGAAGAACGUAGCGAAAUGCGAUACUGGUGUGAAUUGCAGAAUCCCGUGAACCAUCGAGUCUUUGAACGCAAGUUGCGCCCGAAGCCAUCAGGUCGAGGGCACGUCUGCCUGGGCGUCACACGCC
rnacentral:rRNA from 2 species